rnacentral:piRNA from 1 species
AUUCUUCAGUAGGGCUGUAAAGGUUUUU